AUAUAUCAACCUCUUCAGCUUUUGCUUGUCGAGUGUUGGAUUGUGGGGGUGUUUUUGCUGGCCUUUUGAGGUCGGCUCCCCUGAAAUGCAUUAGCAGAACAAAUUUGUUGACUCCGUUCAUUGGUGUGAUAACUAUCUACGCUAUUGACGGGUGAAGGCAGAGUUCAGCUCCCAAUAGUCCAUUGACUUGGACAACUUUUUCAUUUA
rnacentral:misc_RNA from 1 species